UUUGGGGAUCAAUCCCCAAUGUAGCUGAAUCAUUCUUUUACCACUUUCCAGAAUCGCUGUUUGCCCAUCGUUCUUCUUCUACUGUAUCAUGAAACAUUUGGAGUACUCCACAGUUCAAGUCUUGGUCAGCUAAGCUAGUCGACAUGGCUAUCAAGUAUAACUCAUAACAAUCUAUCUUCUUGACGUUCUUACAUGACCUUGGUGACUCAAUGAUGUUAAGAGGUUUGAC